GGAGGCAGCAGGGGGGAAUAUUGGACAAUGGGGGCAAGCCUGAUCCAGCCAUGCCGCGUGUGUGAAGAAGGCCUUAGGGUUGUAAAGCACUUUCAGUGGGGAGAAAGGUCAUUUGGUUAAUACCUGAGUCAAUUGAUGUUACCCACAGAAGAAGCACCGGCUAACUCCGUGCCAGCAGCCGCGGUAAUACGGAGGGUGCAAGCGUUAAUCGGAAUUACUGGGCGUAAAGCGCACGUAGGCGGUUUGUUAAGCCAGCUGUGAAAUCCCCGGGCUCAACCUGGGCACUGCAGUUGGAACUGGCAAGCUAGAGUAUGGUAGAGGGGUGUGGAAUUUCAGGUGUAGCGGUGAAAUGCGUAGAUAUCUGAAGGAACAUCAGUGGCGAAGGCGACACCCUGGAUCAAUACUGACGCUGAGGUGCGAAAGCAGUGGGGAGCAAACCAGGAUUAGAUNCCCUGUUGCAGCAGUGG
rnacentral:rRNA from 1 species